UACAGAGGUGGCAAGCGUUGUUCGGAAUUACUGGGCGUAAAGGGCGCGUAGGCGGCUCGACAAGUCCCGCGUGAAAGCCCCCGGCUCAACUGGGGAACUGCGCGGGAAACUGUCGGACUUGAGUUCGGGAGAGGGAAGCGGAAUUCCGGGUGUAGCGGUGAAAUGCGUAGAUAUUGGGAGGAACACCGGUGGCGAAGGCGGCGCGCUGGACCACUACUGACGCUGAGGAACGAAAGCUAGGGGAGCAAACAGG
rnacentral:rRNA from 1 species